rnacentral:rRNA from 1 species
AUCAUUCAUAGAGUGUAAAGGCAUAAGGGAGCUUGACUGCGAGACCUACAAGUCGAGCAGGGUCGAAAGACGGACUUAGUGAUCCGGUGGUUCCGCAUGGAAGGGCCAUCGCUCAACGGAUAAAAGCUACCCCGGGGAUAACAGGCUUAUCUCCCCCAAGAGUUCACAUCGACGGGGAGGUUUGGCACCUCGAUGUCGGCUCAUCGCAUCCUGGGGCUGUAGUCGGUCCCAAGGGUUGGGCUGUUCGCCCAUUAAAGCGGUACGCUAGCUGGGUUCAGAACGUCGUGAGACAGUUCGGUCCCUAUCCGUCGUGGGCGUAGGAAAUUUGAGAGGAGCUGUCCUUAGUACGAGAGGACCGGGAUAA